UUAAGAGAAUAUUAAGGUAGUGUUGGGAUCUUUAAUAACUUUGACCUAUUUGUGAAACCUUAAAGUAAACAUAUAUUCCUUAUAUCAAGGAUCUUAUAACAUUUAUUAAAAAAAACCUAAUUAUUUAUUCUAAGUAAAAUAGUAGUACAUAAACUCAACAGCUAGUCUCUAUUGAGUGUAUAUGGUUGCAGUAGGGGGAGAAGUCUCAAGAGACUCCGGCACAUCAGAAGGGCUCACCCUUGAGUUCAUAGUCGCAGUAGGUGGAGAGGCCUCAAGAGGCUCCGGGCAUCAGAAGGGCUCACUGUUGACCACCUUGCAGAGAUCCAUUCAUCUCCAGUGGAACGAGAAGACAAAUUUGACAGUCUUUCAUUAGGAAUCUCAGUUUGUCCAUUAUGAAAGAAAUGUACUAAUUGAACAGUCUUCAUCCAGACACUUUCAUCACUUCUGGAUGGCUGUUUACGAUUAAAAUCGAUGAGCAGGCGAAGGAAGAACAGUACAAUGUAGAGGGUGGAAGUGGCGCCACAUAAAAGGUAGAGAGCCCAGAAGUUCCCGAGGCUCAGUUCAUCAUUUUCGGUGGCUGAACACUCGGCAGAACAAGGAAACCACUUUUCUUCUAAUGCUUUUAGAAUCCUCUUCUCAGAUAUGGUUAGGAUGGCUUCAGAAACAUCAGCAGCUAAUGGAGAGCCUUUCUGAAAGGCCUGCAUGGAGAUCAACAAGGAUGACAUGACCAAAGCUAAUUUCAUUGUGACAAUGCUAAAAGAAUUCCAUAUGCUAUCCUACUCCACUGAGCAAUGGUUCAACUAAUUCAAUUCCUACCACCAGUCAAGGGAUGGGACAAUUUUCUUUGGGGGAAAAGGGCAUCAACAAAUCAGUUUGGGCCACUUCAUACAUGUGUUAAGAGAAGUUGCAGAAAAUUUUAGAGAAUGCAAAUGGGGAAGAGUUCCAGUUACUACUCACAAAGACUAAUCCUCCAAAUCUGUUGAGGGGUUGGCCGGCAGUGUAAUUCUUGCAGAACUGGCUGGUGAAAACUUUUGCAUAAGGAAGUUGAAGAAAGGCAGCUGACAUGUUCCCACUCUGGAAUUCGCCAGGAUAUUGGUAUUGGUUGCUAAUAUUCUUGAUAUCAGCUCCUUCGAAUUUAAACACGUUCUCUAAGUAUUCCCUCGUAAAUGCAGCACCAUCACAACCAACCACAGACCUAGUAGCUUUUAGCCAUUCGAUAUCCAUCACAUUGGGUUCAAGUCGUCGGACAGUGAGCAUUGAAGAGAGACUAGCAGUGUAGCUCGAGGUUAAAACGAAGACUACAAACAGCCACACCACUAUCACUACUCGAGUAAUAUUGCUACGAAUUGUCUCCCCUGGAAAAUGAAACAAUGGCUAGCUUUCUGAGUUAUUUAAUUAUUGAGCAACCAAAAUCUCUUCCAUUUUUAAUAUUACUACUUACUAUGAGCAAAGAAAAGAGAAGAGAAGGUGAACCAAAGAGCAGUCCCGAGCUGACUCUUCCAUGGGCCUCUGAAUGCUGGAUUAUUGGAUUGGUACGAUCCAGUACCCAAACUAUGAACAUGGUGUAGAUCAAGAGGGCACCUGUGACUACCCACAUUUCCAUGGUGAAAGGCUUCAGGAACAUCCAUGCCUUGUGAGGUUCUUUAGGCCUUGCUUGUAUUAUCACCAAUCCCGACUCGGCAUAUGGCAGUGUGAAUUCCACUUUUUUUGAACGGGUGGCAAGUAUAGUCACAUCGCCAACCACAGCAUCAAAGGUCUUCCAUGUAUUUGAUAGGCAUAAAAUCUCUCAGAGACAAAUGAUUGAAACAAAUAUGAAGUAUGAUUCAGGAAUUCUGAGCGUUAAUCUUCUGUACUAUGUUCACUGCUGUCUCAUGGGGAUAAAGUCAAAACUUAAUAUACCAGAAAAGUCUACCGGGCAGGAUUUCUUUGGGAGGCAUAAAAAUUGAGAAGUUUCGAGGGUUUGAAAAACCUAAUUAUGGAAAUAUAUAUUUCAUAUAAAAUCUUUCAUAAACUCCGGCGCUCUUGUAGAAAAGCAGGCAAGUGUUAACUAGAGAGGUUCAGUUUGACUUUGAUUAUCAUUUAUCAAGCGAUUGUUUCAAUUGUUUUCCUUUAAACAAACGACAUGUUAAUUUGGUCAGCAAGCAAGACAUGCUUUUUGAGAAAUUAGAAAAGGGGGAAGGUUUACUGAUGAAAUCACAACACAAACACCUGCUGAAGUUACAAAUAAAUCUUGGUCGCUAAUGUGAAGUUGAGAUUUAAUUCUGGUGUGGGGAAUAUCAUGAUUAUUGAGAAAGAUUUAAAGAGCUAAGGCUAGAGAUAGGAGUAAAUACCUUGUUAUAAACACAAUAUUCAACCAGCUCGUCAUAUGUGCCAAAAAAUGGAUGGAACUUGUAGGGUAGAGAGUAAUUUUGCUCCAGAAUUUUUACCACCUCUCGGAAAAUAUCAAUACAGAAACCAGUAUAUUUUUUUUCAGGCUCGAUUUGAGCUUCGCCCACCUCCACAAAAUUUUUAAAAGUGCCGUUAGCUGGAAUUCCAAUCUUCAAUGGUUUUGGAUCAGUGGGCAUUUCCCAUCCCUUGGGGACACGUUUUAGGUACCCUGGCCAAAUCACUGGACCCUCCAAAAUCCUUGUGGUGUUUCUACCGCUAUUUUUGUCUCCACCUUCUCUGCUGAAAGGGUUGUCCAAGUCCUGUGUCCAAAAGUCAAGAUCCUUGUAGCCUUUUCCAACAAAGUUUAUAAUCCUGAAUGGCAACGAAUUUGAAUUUGAAAAAUUAAUUGUUCCACUUAAACCACUAAAGUUGCUUGAUAAUAUAUUUUUUAACAACAUUUUUGGAGUAUCAGUAUCACCAACUAAUCUCUCCAGGGCCCAUGUGAUGACAGCAAUGCCAUCAUAUGCUCGUAGUGCAUGAAUUCCUGGCUGGCCGUUGUCUUCCUUUGGAUAUUCAGAUUUAAAAUUUUUCUGAAACUGGGCAGAGAAUUCUUGGAAGGGCCUAUUGGAUUUGGAAUAGCAGGACUUGAUUCCUAGAGCCCCUUCCAUAUAGGGGAUAACAGAGGUGUCCAUGGAAUCCAGGAAGCUUGAAAUGCUAUCUGUAACUAUCCAGGCUGAGUCUUUCCCCAUAAAAUCCAUCCGCCUUGCUUCUUGGAACAAAUGGAUAGCCAUCGGUAAUGAUGAUUGAAGAACAAUGAAAACCCUGGAUUGUGUGCUCAGAAGCUUCAAGAGCUCUUGAUGGACAGCUCCUCUUGGAUCAGAUAGAGAUGAUAUGGGAGGAAGAGACAAAUGGUACUCGAUCUCCGAUCCAACUCCUUGAAGAGCUUCAGAUAAAAUAGUUAACAACUCAGCGUUGCCACCGUACGCAUCAUCUUCAUAGAUUGUGAUGACACUUCGCCAGUGAUAGGAGUAAACGAUAGCUGAAAUGCACCUUAUUUGUUCAGAAACAUUGGUGCCCAUUUGUACCAGGGUGGGCCUUCCAAGCUGCCUCGACGGCCGGACACUCGCAGAUGCAGCCAAUGAAAGAACUGGUACUUGAGCUUGGUUUCCGAUUUCAGCAGCUAAAGCUGCUUGCUGCCAUGUAUCCAUGCCCACAAUCACUUGCACUUUCUUCUCUUUAAUCAGUUCUUCAGCUGCAAUUAUAUCUCACUUAUUUCAUUCAAAAUUCAAUACAUAAUAAUGUUUUCAAUGCAUGGAAGCAGUAAAAUCCUAUUUCCAUCUCUUUCAUUUGUUUUUCCCUUAAAAGGAAAACAAUGAUAAGUACUGAUUCGUCCCUAGCAGUGGCAGUGGCAAUGGCACCAUUUGAUUCGGGGUUCGAUCCCCGGCAACGGCGCCAUUUGAUUCGUGCCCAAUUGGUGUCUCAGCUGAUUCGUGUCCAGCUGGUGCUCCUUGAUUGAGGGAGUAAUCAACAAAAUUUAUAACCUAUUACACUAUAUACUAGGGUAGCAAAGACAAAGCUACUAUAGUAUAGUGGCUCUAGGAUCGUUCACUGGGAUGGGUUUUCACUUUGCAAAUGAUAUUAAUUCAAAGCUGAAUUGGUGUCUUUUCAUUUCAAGGUUAGCUUUAAAAGAAAACAUAAAGAUGUUUGAAUGAAAAAGGUUUGGUUUUAAACUAAUCAAAAAUAGUAAUUGAUUUUACUUACAAAGAAAAGAUGUUUCUUGGAGUUCAGAUCACUAGGCUCGUUCCUCAUACAAAAUGGGAGUUCCGGUCACUUGUUUCUUUUCCUCGCAUUAGAGAAUUAACAUAUAGUUCCUUCUCCAACCGGUGUUGUACAGAUGCUUCCCAUCAAUGGGUUCAAACACUAAAUCCCUCUCACUGAUGCAACUUGCAAUGGUUCAUGCCUCUCACGAGCACUUACCAUUCAAGAUGAUCUUUAACCUUGGACUUCCCUUCAAAAGCUCGCAAGAGAUAACUAAUGGAUGUCUCCUUGGAGUCCAAAAGCUUACCAAGUGUUGGCUAUUCUAGAAAAUCCUACCUUCAAGUCACCUCCCAAAGGCUCGCAAGGGGUAAACUAGUGCAUCUCCAUGGACGGAGAUCACUUGCCUUACCAAGUGUUGGCCCAGGUGAUUUAAAGGCAUUUUAAGUUAACUAAAAAGAUAAAAACCAUUAACGGGUUACACUUUCUCUUCAUUAAAAACUAAAACAACAAAACUUCCAAAUUAUGCAUGUGGAAACUUACCCGGCUUUCCUCACUCCAAGAGACAAAAGGCUUAGCCUCUCAUCCUCUGAGGAAAAAUCCUCAGAGUUUGGUUGGCUAGAAAAUGAAAAUGAAAUGAAAAAUGAAAGAGAAGGAAAAACAGAGCAAGGCUCUGUAUAUUCUAUAUAUGAUCAAUAUUACGGAUUACAUAUAUGGUCCUCCUCCUUUACAGUGGAUGCAAGGGAAUAUAUAUAGAGGAGUUUUUCCAACCUUCCUAGCUAAGAAAUCUUGUGGUUGGUGGCUUACAAGGAGAAGAAUGGAAAUUUAUACACAAAAAUCUGAAGAAAAAUAUCUAAAAGAGUCGGUGCAAAAAUAUCGGGAAGCUCCAGGAACAUUUCGCAGGUGAAAAAUGGUGUCUGCGAGAUUUCGCAGACACUCAAGAGGGCUGCGAAAUAUUUUCGCAACAACAAGUUAAACUCGCAGGGCUGCGAAAUUGGCUUCCACCUUGAGGUUCUCAGAGUUCCAGCUUGCGGCAUGUAUCGGGUAGCUUCAGGAGGAAUUCCAUAGCACUGUACAAAAAGGCUGCGAAAUUCUCGCAACAAAAGGCUGAUUUCGCAACACUUUGGAGUGAUCUGCUUGCAAUGGCUGUAACUCCUUCGUUUCAACUCCGAAUCGCGUACCGUUUGAAGCAUUGGAUUCUUGACUUCCUGAUCUUUGAAAUGGUAUAUAGAAUGUAGAAAAUGGACUUCGGGAAGUGCUCCAAAAGUGCGCAUGAAGACUGCAGCUGCUUGUCCUCUGUUUUCUUCACUCUGUUUUUCCUUUCUCCUUGCUUCUCUCCUUGCAUACUUUGAACGACUUUGGCAAAGGGAUAUGGAGCUCCAAAGCUUGGUUUCUUCAUGAAUUUGAGCUUCCAAAAGCUUUGCCAUGAAUUCCAAAUAGCUCAUCCAUCAUUUGGCAUGCUUGAAUUGAUUCAUAAGCUGAUAAAAACAUGUAAACUUGCCACAAAAUAGUUAAAACCAAUUACUAAGGACCUUAAUGAAUUAAUUGGGUUAAAUGAAUAUGAUUACUACUCAAAGGUGCUUAAAACCAUUAUAAUUAGGUCUACAAAAUAGCACUUUUUGGUAGUAAUCAAGUACUACUUAAAACAAGUUUUUCAAGUUAUUUAAAAAUAAAUAAAGGAAAAUUUAAGAGUGAAAAAAAGAAAAAAAAAUGAAAAGCAUUGCAAUUUAAUAUAUAGGUGCAGUCGCAACAACUUUAGAAGAGAAGACCAACAGACCAACCUAUUAAAGCCGCCCGGUUGAGUUCGCCGGUGAAGUCCCGGGAGAUAAUAGAGUGCUUAUGAUUCUUGGAAUUAUUAUUGAACUUGUCCACGGCUAUCUUCAUGGCCGUCAUUUCCUCUUUACCUUUACGAGAAUUAGAGUCAAUGAUUGCCCCAAUGAUGGUGGAGGUGAUAUCUGCCGCUGUGGCUGUGAUGUAUCCAUGAUGGGAGACAAUUAAAAGGAUGGAGAUAAGUGAAAAACAGAAGAAACAUGGUGUUUGGGUAUUUAGUGGGAAGGGCAUUUCGGCUCUUAGCAAGUAAUAAGCAAGUGCCUUGGAAGGAGAUUGUUCCUAGCUUAUAUAACUGUGAAUCCAGCGGGCUUAAGCACAAGUAGUAGAAUCUUUCAUAGUGAAUUCCCAUGAAGUUUCCUGCUUGCUUCCUAAGUCAAUGCUUGCUGUGCUAAAAUCAAUGAAGGAUGGACACAAUGAAACUCCCUCCCCAUUACUUAAUUUCAUACGUUCUUUUCAACCGUAAGUACAUGUCUCUGUGAAAUAAUUCUCUCCAUGGUACUGUUCCUGUUUUGUGAAGUUGUAGGUCUUGGAAGUUGGAAGUCAUUGUCAACCACCUGUUGUUAGUUUAACAAAUAAAGAAUAUAAUAUGUAUAUUAAAUCCAAAUCUUAUGAGUUUUAAUUAGUUCAUUAGUUUGGUGUAGAGGGAGUCAUUCAAACCACCUCUUGGCAAUUUACAUAUUCAUUUCCCUAUUUAUCUAUGUGUAAGUUCAAAAAGGGUUAUUUGCAUUUGCAGGAGUAUCUCUUCACGUAUGAGUGUGGGGCUGCAAAUGAGAGAAGAUGUUAAAAAAAAUGAAUUUUAUAAGUUUAAGCUUUUAGGAAGAUUAGCAAUUCAAUAAACAGAGUUUUGAAAUUUAUUACAUUUUAAUGGGAUAAAAUUCAAUAAAAUUAAGAGUGUGUUUGACAGUGAUUUUAGGAAGUACUUUUAUCAUUUCUAAUACUUGAAAAUUUUUAUUUUUUAAGUAUUAAAAAGAUUAUAUACACUUCCUAAAAUCACUACCAUAUGAGAAAAUACUUCCAAUAUUUGUAACACUUCAAAAUUUUUAUCAUUCAAGUAUUAGAAUGAUUAAAAUUGUUUUUUAAAAUCACUACCAAACGUAUUUUUAGUUUAUAAACAUAUCCAAGAAACUAAGAUGAAAUAGUUCAAGGAUACAAAAUAGAAAAUUAUGAUAUUUUUAUCUUAAAAAUUCAGUCAAUUACAUAACAGUAGAAAAUAAACUCGUAACAAAUCUUAUAUAAAUGGGAGUGGUCUAUAUUAACUCAUAUAUUUGAUAUAAAACAAAUAAGAGGUGUAUUAUAGCCCUCUUAUAGAGGAAUUUUUUCAAGAAAAAAUCCAUUUCUAUUUUUUUACUAUUUCUUUUAUGUUUAUGGUCUUUUUAAUUAUGGGUUAAUUUUUCCAAGUUCGUUAUGCUUCACCACUCCGAAGUUUCUACAUGAAUACGACAUAGAAAAAAUUCUACAUAGCAUGGAUAUAAAAGUGUUUGUGUCAAAGUCAUAUAAGGUUAAAAAAUAGAUUAAAAAUUUGAGUUAAAACAUGUUGAUAUGUUGCACAUCAUACAUUUUAGAUAUAAAAAUAAAUUAAUUUAUAUAACUUGCGCUCCAAGCCUGAGUUAAAGUUUGAUAUAUAAUAAGACUUGUACAUCCACAUAUUUUAGAUAUAAAAAAUGAAUUGAUUCAUAUAACUUGCACUCCAUGCCCAAGUUAUAAUUUGAUAUACAACGAGAUUUAAAUAUCACUUCUAUUGAGUCACACCCGCUUAACUCGUAUAAAUUGAGAUAACACUGAUACAUGCAAAUCAUAUAUGUAAGAGUUCACAAAACCAAUAAUAACAACAAAUUAGUUUAUUUUCAAAUAUUUUUCAAAAUCAUUUUUAUUUGUAGUAUUUUAGUUUCAAUUAUUUUUCAUAUUUAUAUAACUAUUUUUUAAAAUAAUUUUAGAAAACAAAUACAAAUAAUUAAAAUAUAUUCUUAAAUAAUAUUCUGAUUUUAGAAUAAAUUCUUAAUGAACUAUCAAUCAUAUUUUGGAAUCUAAAAAAUAAGUGCCAUGCAUCACAGUACUACUUAAAAAAUCUGUGGUUCACGUCAUAUGAUUGUUUGUCAUGAUUACCAUUUAUAUAAUCCAACAAGAAGUCCAUUGAAAGGGAAGGAAUCUUAUAGUAUCCUUAUAAAAUAUUUGAGCUCCAAAAUGGGGAAACAAUCCAGUGCUUAUGCCUCACAUGCUAGUCGGCCGUGGUGAUUGGUCAUCGAUUAUUUUUUAACUAAACAAUUACACUAAAUAUUGAUAUGAAUUUAAAACAUUAGAUUAAAAAAUUACACUGAAUGAUAUGAAUUUAAAACUUUUGUUUAUCAUACAUUUUAUUGUGAUAUUAUAUUUAUCCUUAUUUAUUUAAAUAAUUACAAAAAUACCAUAUAUCAUAUACAUUCUAGGAUGGACCGUAAAUAAUGGUGAAAUAUAUGACAAAUUACAAGUUGUUAACACAUCAAAAAUUAUCCUCUUCAACAUGCAACUCUUCAUACUGUAACACGUGCAUGGCUUUGGAAGUGCUUCUCAACUUAACACAUCGAAUUACUCUUUAUUUAAGAAACUUUUUUUUUUUUUUCUACUUUUCUCUCUUGUAGAAUUUCUCUGAAUACAGUUGGUGAUUCUUUGUUCUACCUAGGUUCUCUCCAAAACUUUUCUUUUAACUUUUUUUUCUUUUCAUUUUAUUUCUGCAUUUCAUUUGGAUUUUAUUCUCAGAAUAAAAUAGAUAAAAAGUAGAUAUAAUAAACAAUUAAAGAGUAAUAACAAGAAGAUUUAAUCCUAAAAUUAAUAUUAUUUUACCCUUUAUAAGAAAUAAGAAGGGAAUAGCAGACACUCAUGUUUAAUUUAGAAAAACCGGAGCUUAUCUCUGAUGGUGAGAUGCUCCCCAUCAGAGAAGCCGCGAUUGGACAGCUCUGGAUCUAUGAGUCCCCACCAUCUUAAAAACCCCACCAACAAAAACAAUCAUGAAGAUUCACUCUUUCCCUCAACACUUCAAGCACUUGUUGCAGUGAAUAGAGACAAUAUUUUCCACUCUAUCUCUAAUCCUUGGACUUCUCCCUAACUUAGCCAUUACCAUUAGUACUAAACUUAAAACCUAUUUUAAAAUCUGAAUUCCAAACAUAGUAUAAAAUGAAGUCUCCCUGUAUAUGCCGAUGAAAAAGAGGGAAAGAAAAGAUAGAGGAAAGAGGUGUGUUUGGUUUGGUUUUGUUUUGGAGUGAGGCUUUAAGAGUUGUGAAAAUGGUUGACGGUGUGAUUGAGACGUGGGAAAUGGAAAACUCUAGCAAAAAGGAUCAAAACUAGGAAUGGAAUGGUAGUUAUGGAAUAAAAUAAUCAGUUUAUGAAAAUGGAAUAAUUAUCCAUUUUACAUUAUGUGGAUAGUCGAUAUACACUAUAUAAUCAAAUAUACAAGUAUAGAAAGUACCUCCUAUUCAUGAAGUUGUAAUAAAUUUAUGAGGAAAGCGGUUAUUGUUGAGAAAUCUAAAACUGAAAAGGAAAUUAAAAUUCUUAUAUGAAUUUGUAAUAGAUAUAUGAGGUAAAGGGUUGUUGUUGGGAAUUCUAAAAUUGGAAAGAAAUUUUAGAAUUCUUAUAGAAAUGGAAUCAUAGUUUAAAUAGAAAAACCGUCUAAAAAUAUUAUAUAAUAUUUUUAAUUAUUUAAUCAAACUUAUGAAAAAAUAAUUUAUUAAAAAAACUUAAUUACUUAAUUAAUUAAUUAAUUAAAUUUUUUCUUUUAAAACUUGAUUUUUUUUUAUGAUAGUUAAAUCAAAGAAACAUUCUAGACUGCACAUAUAAAGAAAUAGCUUAACUUGGGGUUUUAUUUUUUAAACUGUUAAUUAAAUAAUAAUAAUAAUAAUAAUAAAUGUAGUUUAUCAUAAUAUUUUUAUUUUUUAUUAUUUAAUAAUAGAUAAGUAAAGAAAACUUACCUUAAUGUUGAAUAGAUAAAGGAGAUAAAUAGGUAACCUAUAUAAAUAAAUUAGUUAAAUGAAAAUAAUUUCUUUAACCAAUCAACUAUUGACCUAAGUAGAAUAAGUUUUUCUUUGAUAGUCAUUCUUCAUUCCAACUUGGAAUUGUUAUUAAUCUUCAAAUUCAAUACUUGUUAUUUGAAUUGAAAUUUUAUUUUAUUUUUUAAAUUAAGACUUAUGUGGUGUUUGUUUUUUUACUUAAUUCUAAAUAGAACUUUAAUGCUUAAUAGUGUUAAAUAUUAGGUUGUUUGUUUUUAUAGUAUUUUAUUUCUCGUAAGUAUUAAAAAAUAUAAAAAAAAACAAUAUGUUAUUUUUUCUAUUUAGAAAAAGUUACAUAUUUUGGUUUUUUUCUAUUUAGUAAAAAAUUUAUAAUAAGUCAUGAAAAUUUUCAAACACCAUUAGUUAUUUUCUAAUUACAGUAGGUAUCACAAAAGUGGGGUGUUUUUUUCUUUGGUAUUUAUAAAUGCUCACACUUCUAUACCUAGCUUUAAUACUUUUUUUUAUAGAAGAUUACGAAAGUAUAAUUUCUGUUUAUUUUGGUUUGAUAAAGAGUUAGCAAUUUAUUAUUAUUUUAAUUUUCUAAAAGUUUAAAAAAUAUAAUGGCUUUGACCUACAUACGAAACCUUAACGAUAGGAUAUUCCUUAUGCAAAUGAUCUUACAACAUUUAUUUAAAAAAAAAAAAAAAACUAAUUAUGCAUUCAAUCUGAGUAAACUAGUAGAACAUAAGCUCAACAGCUUGUUUCUAUCAAGUCUACAUGGUUGCAGUUGGGGGAGGGGUCUCAGGAGGCUCAUGCUCAUCAGAAGGGCUCACCCUUGAGUUCAUAGUUGCAGUUGGUGGAGAGGCCUCAGGGGACUCCGGGGCCUCAGGAGGCUCUGGGGCUUCAGAAGGACUCACUGUUGACCACCUUGGGGUGCUCCAUUCAUCUCCAGUGAGACGGGGAGACAAAUUUGACG
rnacentral:lncRNA from 1 species